rnacentral:rRNA from 1 species
UACAGAGGUCCCGAGCGUUGUUCGGAUUCACUGGGCGUAAAGGGUGCGUAGGUGGCAUAGAAAGUUUGAUGUGAAAGCUCAGGGCUUAACCCUGAAAUGGCAUUGAAUACUGCUGUGCUGGAGGUUUGGAGGGGGGACUGGAAUUCUUGGUGUAGCAGUGAAAUGCGUAGAGUAUCAAGAGGAACACCAGCGGCGAAGGCGAGUCCCUGGACAACACCUGACACUGAGGCACGAAAGCUAGGGGAGCAAACAGG